GACGAACGCUGGCGGCGUGCCUAAUACAUGCAAGUGGGACGCAAGGGAACACACUGUGCUUGCACACCGUGUUUUCUUGAGUCGCGAACGGGUGAGUAACGCGUAGGUAACCUGCCUAUUAGCGGGGGAUAACUAUUGGAAACGAUAGCUAAUACCGCAUAAUAUUAAUUAUUGCAUGAUAAUUGAUUGAAAGAUGCAAGCGCAUCACUAGUAGAUGGACCUGCGUUGUAUUAGCUAGUUGGUAAGGUAAGAGCUUACCAAGGCGACGAUACAUAGCCGACCUGAGAGGGUGAUCGGCCACACUGGGACUGAGACACGGCCCAGACUCCUACGGGAGGCAGCAGUAGGGAAUCUUCGGCAAUGGACGAAAGUCUGACCGAGCAACGCCGCGUGAGUGAAGAAGGUUUUCGGAUCGUAAAGCUCUGUUGUAAGUCAAGAACGUGUGUGAGAGUGGAAAGUUCACACAGAGACG
rnacentral:rRNA from 1 species